rnacentral:rRNA from 1 species
GAUGAACGCUGGCGGCGUGCCUAAUACAUGCAAGUCGAACGCUUCACUUCGGUGAAGAGUGGCGAACGGGUGAGUAAUACGUAAGUAACCUGGCAUCUACAGGGGGAUAACUGAUGGAAACGUCAGCUAAGACCGCAUAGGUGUAGAGAUCGCAUGAACUCUAUAUGAAAAGUGCUACGGGACUGGUAGAUGAUGGACUUAUGGCGCAUUAGCUUGUUGGUAGGGUAACGGCCUACCAAGGCGACGAUGCGUAGCCGACCUGAGAGGGUGACCGGCCACACUGGGACUGAGACACGGCCCAGACUCCUACGGGAGGCAGCAGUAGGGAAUUUUCGGCAAUGGGGGAAACCCUGACCGAGCAACGCCGCGUGAAGGAAGAAGUAAUUCGUUAUGUAAACUUCUGUCAUAGAGGAAGAACGGUGGAUAUAGGGAAUGAUAUCCAAGUGACGGUACUCUAUAAGAAAGCCACGGCUAACUACGUG